rnacentral:rRNA from 1 species
CAGGACGAACGCUGGCGGCGUGCCUAAUACAUGCAAGUCGAACGCUUCUUUCCUCCCGAGUGCUUGCACUCAAUUGGAAAGAGGAGUGGCGGACGGGUGAGUAACACGUGGGUAACCUACCCAUCAGAGGGGGAUAACACUUGGAAACAGGUGCUAAUACCGCAUAACAGUUUAUGCCGCAUGGCAUAAGAGUGAAAGGCGCUUUCGGGUGUCGCUGAUGGAUGGACCCGCGGUGCAUUAGCUAGUUGGUGAGGUAACGGCUCACCAAGGCCACGAUGCAUAGCCGACCUGAGAGGGUGAUCGGCCACACUGGGACUGAGACACGGCCCAGACUCCUACGGGAGGCAGCAGUAGGGAAUCUUCGGCAAUGGACGAAAGUCUGACCGAGCAACGCCGCGUGAGUGAAGAAGGUUUUCGGAUCGUAAAACUCUGUUGUUAGAGAAGAACAAGGACGUUAGUAACUGAACGUCCCCUGACGGUAUCUAACCAGAAAGCCACGGCUAACUACGUGCCAG